rnacentral:rRNA from 1 species
AUAUGUAUCCAUUUUCCUAUGCAUGCCCGAUCUCAUCUGAUCUCACAAGAUAAGCAGGGUCGGGCCUGGUUAGUACUUGGAAGGGAGUAUUUAAAGUUUUGGUUUUGUGUUUU